rnacentral:rRNA from 1 species
UACGGAGGGGGCUAGCGUUGUUCGGAAUUACUGGGCGUAAAGGGCGCGUAGGCGGUGCGAUCAGUCAGGCGUGAAAGGCCCGGGCUCAACCCGGGGACUGCGCUUGAUACUGUUGCGCUGUGAGUCCGGGAGAGGAUGGCGGAAUUCCCAGUGUAGAGGUGAAAUUCGUAGAUAUUGGGAAGAACACCGGUGGCGAAGGCGGCCAUCUGGACCGGCACUGACGCUGAGGCGCGAAAGCGUGGGGAGCGAACAGG